GCGGCGGACGGGUGAGUAAUGCUUAGGAAUCUGCCUAUUAGCGGGGGACAACAUUCCGAAAGGAAUGCUAAUACCGCAUACGUCCUACGGGAGAAAGCAGGGGAUCUUCGGACCUUGCGCUAAUAGAUGAGCCUAAGUCGGAUUAGCUAGUUGGUGGGGUAAAGGCCUACCAAGGCGACGAUCUGUAGCGGGUCUGAGAGGAUGAUCCGCCACACUGGGACUGAGACACGGCCCAGACUCCUACGGGAGGCAGCAGUGGGGAAUAUUGGACAAUGGGGGGAACCCUGAUCCAGCCAUGCCGCGUGUGUGAAGAAGGCCUUAUGGUUGUAAAGCACUUUAAGCGAGGAGGAGGCUACCUAGAUUAAUACUCUGGGAUAGUGGACGUUACUCGCAGAAUAAGCACCGGCUAACUCUGUGCCAGCAGCCGCGGUAAUACAGAGGGUGCGAGCGUUAAUCGGAUUUACUGGGCGUAAAGCGUGCGUAGGCGGCUUUUUAAGUCGGAUGUGAAAUCCCCGAGCUUAACUUGGGAAUUGCAUUCGAUACUGGGAAGCUAGAGUAUGGGAGAGGAUGGUAGAAUUCCAGGUGUAGCGGUGAAAUGCGUAGAGAUCUGGAGGAAUACCGAUGGCGAANGCAGCCAUCUGGCCUAAUACUGACGCUGAGGUACGAAAGCAUGGGGAGCAAACAGGAUUAGAUACCCUGGUAGUCCAUGCCGUAAACGA
rnacentral:rRNA from 1 species